rnacentral:rRNA from 1 species
AUUGAACGCUGGCGGCAGGCCUAACACAUGCAAGUCGAACGAGUGGCGGACGGGUGAGUAAUGUCUGGGCAACUGCCCGAUGGAGGGGGAUAACUACUGGAAACGGUAGAUAAUACCGCAUACCAUCGGAUGUGCCCAGAUGGGAUUAGCUAGUGGGUGGGGUAACGGCUCACCUAGGCGACGAUACCUAGCUGGUCUGAGAGGAUGACCGCCCACACUGGAACUGAGACACGGGCCAAACUCCUACGGGAGGCAGCAGUGGGGAAUAUUGGACAAUGGGCGAAAGCCUGAUGCAGCCAUGCCGCGUGUAUGAAGAAGGCCUUCGGGUUGUAAAGUACUUUCAGCGAGGAGGCGUUACUCGCAGAAGAAGCACCGGCUAACUCCGUGCCAGCAGCCGCGGUAAUUC